UUCAGCUUUAUAAGCACAGGUAUCACUGCUGUAAGGCAGAGCGACUUACCCCUUGCUAGGGGACCUGUCGUCUCUACGUGCAUAUGCAUGUAUUCUCUGAUUAAUCAAUAAAGGAGCCUCAGGCUGUCUGAUCAACUCAACAGGGUGGUGAUCAUUUCCACGACAAUUUGGUGCAUUGGCCGGGAACCCACGAGAGGGCUUCUCCUGGAUCGGAGGACCGCAGGCAGUUUCCUUCCAACCCCAGGGCCCAAUUAAAAGUCUUUUUAAAUACAGUAGCUCUGCUGCUUGCUGAAACCAGAAGACUGGGUGUACAUGGAGGUCCACCAGCGAGGAACUGCCCUGGCUCCAUGCUGAAAGACCCUUAUCAAAUCCUGUUAAUUACCAACACUGCUGUGAAGUGCCAAGAAUUGACUACCUGCCCAUGUUCCUCACUGUGAUGACUUCUCUGACUAAUGAUUGGUCUAUCUUUCCUUCUGGCAUUGUUGCUCUUUCUGGACGGCAGGAGUGAAGGACAAGGUAAAAGAACUGGUAACUUCUCCUUUGUUUGCUGACAGACCCACUGAGCCUUUGAACUUUGCUAAGAAAACAACCUCUCCACGUGAGGACAUAAUAAAGCCUCCAAGCAAGCAAGGUGAUUGUGCUAGUAACCUCUCCCUUGCUGCCUCACUGCUGGACAGCUAAGUGAAUUAAGACUACGAAAUCUCAAAGAAUAGCUUGCGAAAGCUAGCCAAAACUACCUGAAAAUGAGACUUUUAAUGUUCCUUAACCUCUCCUCUUUAAUGAACUUGGGAUGGGGAUGGGAAAGUAAUAUUUUCUGAAUAUUUCUCCAAUUAGUAGCCUUACUUGUAAGCUCACUGCUGACACCACUAGUAAAUAACCAAACAUAUACCCACAA